rnacentral:rRNA from 1 species
CAGCCGCCGCGGGAAUACGUAGGGUGCAAGCGUUAAUCGGAAUUACUGGGCGUAAAGCGUGCGCAGGCGGUUAGAUAAGCCAGAUGUGAAAUCCCCGAGCUCAACUUGGGAACUGCGUUUGGAACUGUUUAACUAGAGUGCGUCAGAGGGGGGUGGAAUUCCGCGUGUAGCAGUGAAAUGCGUAGAGAUGCGGAGGAACACCGAUGGCGAAGGCAGCCCCCUGGGAUGACACUGACGCUCAUGCACGAAAGCGUGGGGAGCAAACAGGAUUAGAUACCCCUGUAGUCCCUGUCUCUUAUAA